rnacentral:lncRNA from 10 species
UUUGUAGUAGAGAUGGGGUUUCACCAUGUUGGCCAGGCUGAUCUCGAACUCCUGACCUCAGGAGCAUGGGCUGCCUUGGUUCCAAUCUUAGUUCUGCCACUUACAUGUGACUUUAGGCAGGCUAACUAAAAAAGAAAACUCUGUGACUCAGUUUCCCCAACUGUAAAAUGCCUACCUCACAGGGUUAUUAUAAGGAUUAAAUAAAUUAAUCUGGGCCAGGCUUGGUCACUCACACCGUAAUCCCAGCACUUUUGGAGACCAAGGCAUGCAGAUCACUUGAGCCCAGGAGUUUGAGAACAAUCUAGGCAACAUGGCAAAACCCCAUCUCUACAAAAAAUACAAAAAUUAGCCAGGCGUGGUGGUACACGCCUGUAAUCCCAGCUACCAGGGAGGCUGAGGUGGGAGGAUCCCUUGAGAUCGGGAGGCGGAGGUAGCAGUGAGCCGAGAUUGCGUCACUGCACUCCAGCCUUGACAGGGCAAGACUCCAUCUAAAAAACAAACAAACAAACAAACAAACAAACAAGUUUAUACCUCUUUGUCUGCUAUUUAAUAUCCUUUAAAAGGCUGAGAGUUGCCAAUAAGCAAUGAUGAGGAGGAAAAAAGUGCAUUUUUUCGUAAUUAG